CGCCCUUAGCGCAAAAAGAGCCACGCGGCCCAAAAAGACAAAAAGGGCUCUCUGUUUUUUUGGGUUUGAGGUUUUUAUACUGUUUUAUUCCUUGAGCGCGGCGACGGCCGCACAACGGGGGGAAAGGGAGACAAGGCCAAAACAAACCCGUCGGGCGAGCAAUCAAAGCGAGCCCUUUAGGCGACCAACCAAAGCGGACCCUUGAAGCGAGCAACCAAAGCGAGCCUUUAGGCAAGCGGCAGCCCGACGAUAAUGUCAUAGGUGACGUUGUUGGUGCUGCCAAAAGGCCGCACGGCCAGAUAGGUCGACACGGGCGCAAACGCCUUGAACAGGUUGACGCCGGCGCAACGCUCAGACAACUGAUCAAGCGCUCUCAGCGUACCCAGGCUCGGAUCUUCUUCUUCGUCGUCGCGCUGCGGUCGCGGCACGCCACGGCUUCGCGCCCAUUGCGGGGCAAAGCGCGCGCGCCCGGGCGCGAUGAGCGCACGUCGGAGAGACUCGUUGACGGCGUAUUCGACCUUGUUGCGCAGUUGACGCGGGUCGGAUCGCGCUAUGGCGCGGUCCACGUCGGCGCGCAGGGCCGACGCGAUGUCGCGACCGAUCAAGCGGCGGUCGUCGAGACUGACGAUGGCGCCCGGCGGCGGGUCCAUGCUCGUGACGUAAAAGUAGCGGAGGCGCGGGUCGCCGUAGGGCACCGGCUGCUCGUCGGCCAGCUGGGCCACGUGCCACGGGGCCGCGUCUCCGUCAAAGCCGCCCAGCACAUAGCCCGACACGCCCUCGACGCCGCGCGCCCAUUCCAAGAGAUCGGCGAGGGUCAUGUUGGCGGGCGACCGGAGUACGUCGGCCACGUCCGGGUGCGGCUCGACCUCGCGCUGCAACGAGGCGCGGAACGCCGAUCGCGAGGAGCGCGCGGCGCGCAAGGGCACCAUCCCGCGCAGUAUGCGACCAAAGGUGCCGCCGGAAGGGCGGGACGACCGACCAGCGGACGUCGGCGUAGCGAUCGAUCUGGCCUCUGCGCGCGCCUGCUCUACGUUGCGCGCCGUCUGCAUCGCGGCACCCGACUCGAGGUCGAACGCGUGCGCACGUUGGCGCUCGAUGGCAACGCGUCUCGCGACCGCCUGCGCAUAGAGCGCGUAGAGCACGCAAAAACGCUCCUGUGCGAGAUUGGCGUUGCUUUGUCGGCGCAUGGCGAGGGCCGUCUGCAGCACGCUUGGCUGCGUCAUACCCAGGGCAGCUGCCGACGCCGGCACGCCACGGACCAUCUCGUCGCCGCCACCGUAAGCGGCAGCGAGUUCGGGAAAGUCGCGCGCCCAGUUCACGCGUGCACGCUGGCACACGUCGCGCGCCCUCUGACUGCUCGAACAGAGCGCUGCGAGAUCGGCCGCGCGUCCCUGUGCCGCGAGCGACUGCAAAAGCAUGAUAAACACGUCAUCGCCCACCCGAUCGAUGAGGUCCGAUGGUGCACCGAGGUCGGCUCGUUGGUCUCCCUCGUCCUCUUCCUGUUCGUCGUCUUCUUCAUCCGUGUCGGUGUCCCCCUCUUGGCGCUGAUCGGCCCAGAUUAUCCGAUCCAUCGUGCCUCCAACGGCGGCGCCAUCAUCGAGAUAGGCGGACAAAUCGCCUGAAUCGUAUUCAUCGAUGGGUUGUCCCAAGUAGAGCCGGUCCCCGCCAAUGUCCCCACCGCUCAUGCUGCGCUGCAUCGUGUACUAUGCCUGGCCCUGUUUCGCUUUCGCACCUUUGAGGAGACCGAUUUCCUCUGUCGCCGUCGGGUUACUGACAAAUGGAGAACCUGCGUUGCACGCGCACGCGCAAUACAACAUGCGUUGCCAUACAAGAGGAAUGAGCAAACCAACAAAUGUGCACGACAUACACGAGGCACGAACGUGAGCGCCAACCGCCCCGGUUGUCAUCAACAUCAACGUCAACAUCAACGUCAACAUCACACCCGCCAUCAUUCCCCGGCAAGCACGCACCGGCAGGGAGAGAGAGACGCGAUGAUGUUGUGAGCAGCCCCGUCCUUUGUCCUUGAGGAGGCCAAUCGUCUGUCGGUCGGCCAUCGACUCUGUGCGCCGCACGCUGGUCGCACGGGGGAAAUGGAGCGCGCCGUCGUCGUAUGGCGCCCUCUAGCGCUGUCCGUCAAGGGUCGGCGGAUGAAAAAAAAGGAGGACCACACGCCACUCUUUCUUUUUUGGAGGCCGCCUCGCCUAUCCCAGGGAAUGCUUGUCGGUGUUUAAUCCACUGCUUUUUUGUAUUCUUUGGCGCCACCAACACGCCACACAAACAAAAGAUGGGAAAAAAAGAGAGUGCAACGGGAGCGGGCACAGGCGAGCAGGCGCAAAAAGAGC
rnacentral:lncRNA from 1 species